rnacentral:rRNA from 1 species
AUCGAACGCUGGCGGCAGGCCUAACACAUGCAAGUCGAACGAGUGGCGGACGGGUGAGCAAUGUCUGGGACACUGCCCUAUGGGGGGGGAUAACUACUGGAAACGGUAGCUAAUACCGCAUACCAUCGGAUUUGCCAAGACGGGAUUAGUUAGUGGGUGGGGUAACGGCUCACCUAGGCGACGAUCCCUAGCUGGUCGGAGAGGAUGACCAGCCACACUGGAACUGAGACACGGUCCAGACACCUACGGGAGGCAGCAGUGGGGAAUAUUGGACAAUGGGCGCAAGCCUAAUGCAGCCAUGCCGCGUGUAUGAAGAAGGCCUUCGAGUUGUAAAGUACUUUCAGCGAGGAGGCGGUACUCGCAGAAGAAGCACCGGCUAACUCCGUGCCAGCAGCCGCGGUAAUUC